UAAACCUCUUCACAAUGGCAACCCACUUCUUAAUUCUCGUCAUGCUGGUUGCCUUCUCCAAAGGUGGUCUCUCCCAGGUAGCUCUGACCCAGUCAGAUCCAGUGCUGAAGAAACCAGGAGAAUCCCAUAAAUUGACUUGCGCUGUCACUGGAUUUGACGUUAACAGUGAUUACAUGGACUGGAUCAGACAGAAACCUGGCCAAGGACUGGAAUGGCUUGUAGACUAUUACGAUUCUAGUGAGAAUACUUAUUCACCAACAAUCCAAGGACGAUUUACUGCCUCCAAGGACAGUUCCAACUUCUAUCUGCAAAUGAACAACCUAAAAGCUGAGGACACAGCUGUCUAUUACUGUGCAAGAGACACAGUGAAAGAUCUCUUAAGUGAUCUCAAGCAAAAACCUUUCCUUUAUAUAAGUAUUGAAAUGUCUCAAGAGGGGUCAGCAGAGAACCACAAAAUGAGCAUCUGGAACAAAAUCACUCAGGCAGAGAAGAGAUGUAAAUGA